ensembl:lncRNA
GGGCCCAGCGGGCUGUUGAUUGGAACUGGUCGUAGGCCCUCCCCCGAGGUGGUGCCGGAGGGGGGAUGAUGGGUCGAGAGGUGUGUCUAUGUGGAAGCGAGAUGACCGGCAGGAAGUUGCCCCAAUGGGCUGCGGAGUGGUUAGUGAGUGCGUGACGGACAAACCCGUAGGCCAACGACUGGCCUUCAGUGUCUGUGGUCUCAUCCAAUGGAGCAGCGCCAGGGCGGGGCCGCGGCUCGGGUUUAAUGAGACUCCAUUGGGCUGUAAUCAGUGUCAUGUCGGAUUCAUGUCAACGACAACAACAGGGGGACACAAAAUGGCGGCGGCUUAGCUCCUACCCCUGGCGGCGGCGGCAGCGGUGGCGGAGGCGACGGCACCUCCUCCAGGCGGCAGCCGCGGCUUCUUUUUCAGGCAGCGGCAGCGCCCCCCGGCAGGCGUGGUGGUGGUGGCGCGCAGCCAGGGGGUACCGGGGAUUGAACUCAGCACCGUGUGCUUGCCAGGCAGGCAGUUUGAAGCACCACUGAGCUACAUGCCGGGCCUCUGAAGGCAGCUUUAAACCUGUCAGGUGGAAGGCAUCAUGUGAAUAAAAG